rnacentral:rRNA from 1 species
AUUGAACGCUGGCGGCAUGCCUUACACAUGCAAGUCGAACGGCAGCACGGGAGCAAUCCUGGUGGCGAGUGGCGAACGGGUGAGUAAUAUAUCGGAACGUGCCCAGUCGUGGGGGAUAACGUAGCGAAAGCUACGCUAAUACCGCAUACGAUCUAUGGAGGAAAGCGGGGGAUCGCAAGACCUCGCGCGAUGGGAGCGGCCGAUAUCAGAGUAGGUAGUUGGUGAGGUAAAGGCUCACCAAGCCGACGAUCUGUAGCUGGUCUGAGAGGACGACCAGCCACACUGGAACUGAGACACGGUCCAGACUCCUACGGGAGGCAGCAGUGGGGAAUUUUGGACAACGGGCGCAAGCCUGAUCCAGCAAUGCCGCGUGCAGGAUGAAGGCCUUCGGGUUGUAAACUGCUUUUGUACGGAACGAAACGGUGAGCUCUAAUACAGUUUGCUAAUGACGGUACCGUAAGAAUAAGCACCGGCUAACUACGUGCCAGCCGCCGCCGUAA